AUUGAACGCUGGCGGCAUGCUUUACACAUGCAAGUCGAACGGUAGACCCUUUCGGGGGUUGAGAGUGGCGAACGGGUGAGUAAUGCAUCGGAACGUACCCAGUCGUGGGGGAUAACGUAGCGAAAGUUACGCUAAUACCGCAUACGUCCUGAGGGAGAAAGCGGGGGACCGGUAACGGCCUCGCGCGAUUGGAGCGGCCGAUGUCAGAUUAGCUAGUUGGUGGGGUAAAGGCCUACCAAGGCGACGAUCUGUAGCGGGUCUGAGAGGAUGAUCCGCCACACUGGGACUGUGACACGGCCCAGAGUCCUACGGGAGGCAGCAGUGGGGAAUUUUGGACAAUGGGCGCAAGCCUGAUCCAGCCAUGCCGCGUGCGGGAAGAAGGCCUUCGGGUUGUAAACCGCUUUCGGACGGAAAGAAAUCGUCCUGGCUAAUACCCAGGAUGGAUGACGGUACCGUAAGAAGAAGCACCGGCUAACUACGUGCCAGCCGCCGCCGUAAGAC
rnacentral:rRNA from 1 species